GAUGCCGCCCCCAUACGGACAGAUGACCCUCCGGUUAGGGCACAGUGGCGCAUGCGGCAGUGGUAUGCUCCGGACGACUCGGAACGCUGUUCGCAGAUGGCUGCCUCUCCAGCCGAGCUGGACAAGGCGGCCGCUAGCCACCUCAUCUAGGAUUUCGCUCGAUUCCUCCCGAUGCAAGGCCACCAGCGGCGGUGGCCUGUGGGGAACGCAUCCACGGCACUCUCCUGUGCGCACAUCUUUCGUGCCAAGUGAUAUAUCAUCUGCUGCUGCGCACAAAGCCAAGGACGCACAACUAGGUGAGUCUCCACAACGCUCGGACACCAUGAGGGGUCCGGCUGAUGCGCCCCCACCAACCAGCUUUACACUAGACCCACCCUUCACCCGUGUCACGGGUGAGGAGGAGCUCUCGCCUGGCCCUUGCGCUUACGUGUGCCGCCGCUGUCGUGCACUUGUUUUCCACAGUGACCGUUUUGCCGACACGAGUCGUGUAGGCUGGCACGCUAGCGGCUGGCCGACGUUCUUGGCCCCCUUAACACCGUCUGCUCUUCGGCUUAGUACGGUACUGCAGAGGUCUGUCAUUGCGCGACUCAGCGACACACCACGCGACAGGCCCGUCAGCCACAUCUCCGCCGGUCUCACUAGGCCACAACGGACACUUGACAUUGCUGUGCCGCCCAACAGCGUCGCUCAACGCGGGCUCGCUGUCGAAGGAGACCUUGUGCGUAAGCGAGGGAACACUAUCAGCCUGCAAGAGACACGGACGUGGAGGGAGACGUGCCUGCGGGACGAGAACCAUCGCGCUGAUCCAGUUUUGGUGCUCGCUGUCUGCAGCGCCUGCGAUACCCCCCUGUGCCACGUCACGCAGUCCGCUGCGUUAGGGACGCGGUAUGUCUCCACCGCCGCGUGCAUCAUGGCUGAAGCAGAGGGUGCCACGCCGCGUGAGUGAUGCCGCGCACUGUGUGUACAACGCCGCUGCCUGUGCGAGAUACAGGCGGUGAGAAAGGUGGUAUCCUUACAUUCGUUGCUCAAGCACGUUUAGCCCGUUUUCGCUCCGCCCCACAACACGAGGUCCACACGCCGCUCGCCCCUCCCCCCCUCCCCGCACCCGACGCCGUCGGCGGAGCACCGCCUCCGCCCCCAAAACGCUGCCCACACACAUCCACCUAGCCGCUCCGCUGGGCGGCCUCACACCCGCUCCCCAAUCAUGCCGGCCACCACCCCUGGCGCAUCCCGCCCCGCCCCAUCGCAGGGGCUCAGGCACCCCGCACGAGUGGGCCGUGCGAGGGCCGCGGGUGUGGGCCGCGCUGGCGCGUUGCCCAUCAUAUGGAUGGCGCAAGCGUGCUCACCGCCGGCAUCUGCUGCGAUGGAUCGCGUUAUCCUCGCCACGUCGCAGGCGCCGGGCCCCAUCAUGACGAGAGGCGGUUCGGCAUGGGCGUGGGAUAGGAGGGGGUGGGGGAGUGCACUGGGCCCUGCGAUACCGCGCCCUGAGGCGUAUGUGUGUCUCGUCCUCGCCAUGAGGUGAGGUAGAACGGAAAAGGAAACCGGGGGAGUUCAGCAGGUUUUUCAAACCCUCAGUGCCGCGCAUGAAGGCGAACGAGGCACCUGAGAGCUUGUGGGCGCCAACGAGGAGGCGGGAAGAGGCGGAAGGGCCUGCGCCAAAGUUGGGGACAGCGACAGGCGUCGUCAGCGCCAGCGGCUUUCGCCUGAGGUGCAUCUCCGCAUCUCUUCCCCUACUCAGCAAUUCGUGCUCGUGCUGCUUUACCGCUAGUGCAGGAGAUCGCGGCGUGCGCAGGAUGCGCGCAGUGCUUGGUAGUUUGUGGAGCGGUUGCCUGAAGGGGAUGGCCGUCCGCUGCGGAUCACGUGAGUCUUGUUGGUCGGCUUUUCCACGGUGGCCCAACCGCGCCCUCCGCUCACGGAUGCGUUUGAUGCACUCUUUGAUGUGCUUUCAUGUCACGUCUCUCCCUCCCUCCUCGCGCUCGCACACAUUUUUUUUUUCCUUCAUCGGCUGUUGCGUGAGCGGGAG
rnacentral:misc_RNA from 1 species